GGCAAAAAGCCAAGUGGCAGGAUAUCUGCUGAGAAAGCUGAGAAGAUGACAGUCUCGCAGGAGAAAAUGGAAGACAGCAGAAUUUCACUAUGUGACGGAGAUCCCUGUCAAUUCAUGAAGAAUAUUGAAUAGCUGAGGAAGACGGCCUUGAUUUAAGGUCAUGAUACUGACAGAACAGUAGGAGGAGUGGUAGAAUGCACGUCUGUAGAGUGUGGAGGUGCCCCUGCAUUUCUGAGAGGGAUUGAUAGGAAAUCAUUAAUACAGUUUAUAAAAAGAAGGCAAUUCAACUGAGAGAGAGAGAUUCACCUCUAAUGAAGGAUCAGACUGGCUAUCCCCAGAACUAAGAGAGACGCUGUAUGAAAGAUCUCGCAUGACAUCCAAAGAAUACAAGCUACAAAAGAAUCAGCAUCUCAUAAAGAAUUCUAACACAUUACAAGGCCACUAUGUGCUUAUGGUCCAUGAAGUGACCAUGCCCCCAUUCUUGGGCCAGACUCUCCCACCUGCCUUCAAACUCUUGAAUUUUUCCAGAGAAAACCAAGAACAAAGAUUCUCUCAAAGUCACCAGCAAGUAAAAAGGAUCAAACCCCACAGCCAGGGCUCUUAUCCAGGGCACACUGAAGUCAAUGGAAUUUUUCCCAUUGAAUGCAGUGGAAGUUGGAUUCAGUCUUUGCAUCCCCAGUCACCCUUGUAAGGUUUUUCAUGCAGGAAUGGGGCUUCAAUUUUGAAAAUUAUAGUCUUCUAAUAGCCAAGAAAAUAAUUGACUUAGAGAUCUAUGUCGUGGUCGUCUUCUUACUAUUAACAUUUUAGAAGAAAAAAAGAGAUAUUCUCUGUAGAGAUUUGAG